rnacentral:rRNA from 1 species
GAUGAACGCUGGCGGCGUGCCUAAUACAUGCAAGUAGAACGCUGAAGCUUGGUGCUUGCACCGAGCGGAUGAGUUGCGAACGGGUGAGUAACGCGUAGGUAACCUGCCUCUUAGCGGGGGAUAACUAUUGGAAACGAUAGCUAAUACCGCAUAAAAGUCGAUAUCGCAUGAUAUUGAUUUGAAAGGUGCAAUUGCAUCACUAAGAGAUGGACCUGCGUUGUAUUAGCUAGUUGGUGAGGUAACGGCUCACCAAGGCGACGAUACAUAGCCGACCUGAGAGGGUGAUCGGCCACACUGGGACUGAGACACGGCCCAGACUCCUACGGGAGGCAGCAGUAGGGAAUCUUCGGCAAUGGGGGCAACCCUGACCGAGCAACGCCGCGUGAGUGAAGAAGGUUUUCGGGUCGUAAAGCUCUGUUGUAAGAGAAGAACGAGUGUGAGAGUGGAAAGUUCACACUGUGACGGAACUACCAGAAAG